rnacentral:lncRNA from 1 species
UUUCCAGUUGUACCAAGGAUAGUUGUAUUAUUUUAGGCAUAAUUAUGACCUUAUUAUUGUCUUUAUUUGAAGAUUAUGUAUGAUCUCAGGAGAUGUGUAUGGGUUCAGCUUGACAAGGGGUGGACUUACCAUGGUUAAUACUGAGUGUCAACUUGAUUGGAUUAAAGAUGCAAAGUAUUGAUCCUGGGUGUGUCUGUGAGGGUGUUGCCAAAGAAGAUUAACAUUUGGGUCAGCGGGCUGGAGAAGGCAGACCCACCCUUAAUCUGGUGGGCACCAUCUAAUCAGCUGCCAGCGAAUAUACAGCAGGAAGAAAAAGGUGAAAAGGCAAGACUGGCCUAGCCUCCCAGCCUACAUCUUUCUCCCAUGCUGGAUGCUUCCUGCCCUUGAACAUCAGACUCCAAGUUCUUCAGUUUUGAGACUUGGACUGGCUCUCCUUGCUCCUCAAGCUUGCAGACAGCCUAUUGUGGGACCUUGUGAUCAUGUUUUAGCACCUCUUACGAAUGAGUGUCUGAGCAGCCAAAAAAUAAAUAAUGAAUCAUCCAGGCAAAGGGGAAGAAAAAUGGACUUGGCCAGAGAUGGGGAAGAACGUACGCAAAAAGAUGAGGUCGUUCAGAUUGGAAGUUGGAUUGGAGGGCGGACCAAAGGAGAAGCUGCUGAAGUAGAUGUUAAAGAUGGAGAGAAGUGGACGGCAGAGACAUAGAGGAGGAAAAGUCAGCAAGACCCGAGAUGUGUAUGGAGAGUUAGAGUGUGGGAAGUGUGACAUGUAACUGAAUCGGAUGAUGGCAACUUUCACUGGGCAGUGAAAGGUCAGGUUGGUGGUAAAAGUCAUGAGUUGACUUUGGGGCAUCUUGAUAUAGUCACUUCCAAUAUCAUGUGUUUCAACAAGCCCGUGUUCCUUCCUGGUCAGUUCCCCCAGCUAGAGUGUGUUUUACAUCCCGCAGCAUUGUAUGAGAACUGCUAGAAUAUCACUCACCACUUCCCAUAGAGAUUCUGUUUGUUCAUCUGCUUGUCCCACUGUGUGCCUUACACAUAGUAGGUGCUCUUGGAAUGUGUGUGAGAUGGAUUAACAUGAGAAGUGCUUCUCUGCAUGAUUUCACCAUUGAAGUGUUGAAAGCAACUAGCACUCCUCCUUCCUGACCUCCAGGCUUCCACCCAGCUGUGGGGACUGCUGUGGUGGAAGGGCCUAGUCUGAAUCUGGACAGGGGAGGUGCCUGCAAAUAUUUUCGUGCCUGCAAAUAUUUUUGUGCCUCGGGACAGAUGGAUGUCCAGUUUACUGUCUGCUUCCUCAGUGGUUCUAGAGCUGCUCAGUCGCAGGCUCCAGAUGUCUGCUUCAGAAUUCAAGAACACCUUCCUGAGCUGGGAAACAGAUCCAAGGAAAUAUCAGCCAGAGGCUUCAUUUUAUCAUCUGUGGAAAUGCAAGAUGUUAGAGCACCUAGGAGGGUCUUAACGUGCAAAACACUGUCUUGAGGCUGCCUGCAGAACAGAGGGUCAUCUGCUUUCAUUAGAUUCUCAAGGGAGCCUCAACAGGCUACACCUGAACCCCAGGUUUGGGGCAUCUCUCCAGCCCUCCCAGCUCUGACAUCAUCAUCACCAUUAACAGCUGAAAUGUGUGAGGUGGUUGGGAUGUACCAACAACCCUCCCAAGAGUCCCAUAUCUACCUGACCUCAUUUGACCUUCACAGCAACCCAGUGACUCAGCUGCUAUUUGGCCCACGUUUUACAAACCUGAGUCAGUGUGCUUUACCUCAGUGACCCAAGAACCCAGGUGCUAGAGUCAGGCCUGCAUCCAAAUCAGGGGUGGGAUCAGUGGUGUGCCCUGAACAAAUCAUUAUCCUCUUUUUUGUUUUAUUUUUUGGAGACAGAGUCUCACUCUGUCACCCAGGCUGGAGUGCAGUGGUACAGUCUCAGCUCACAGCAACCACUCUCUCCUGGGUUCAAGUGAUUCUCCUGUCUCAGCCUCCCAAGUAGCUGGGGACUACAGGUGCGUGCCACCACGCUCAGCUAAUUUUUGUGUUUUAGUAGAGACAGGGUUUCACCAUGUUGCCUAGGCUGGUCUCGAACUCCUGAGCUCAGGUGAUCCACCUGCCCCGGCCUCCCAAAGCACUAGGAUUACAGGCGUGAGCACCCCACCCAGCUCAUUACCCUCUUUUAACUUCAAUUUUCUCAUCCACAAAAUGAGGGCAAUAAUCUCCUUUCUUCCCCACUAGCCAUGUUCAUGAAAGUACUUAUUUGCCCAUUUUAAAAUAUGUAGCAAUGUGCCCCAGAAAGGCUGGGGCAUGAGUCCUGCUUGGGGUGGAGCAGGGAAGGCCUGCUCUGCCCCACUGGGGUGUCCUCAGAUGAAAGUGGGUGUGGGCUGACUUUCUCUGAGCUCCCUGUGGAGUCACACGGGGAACUGGGUUGAGUCACAGCACAAGGGCACUCACAUGCCCCACCCCGAGGAGGUCCCUGUUCUGACAGAAGCCCUGAGCCGUGACUGUGGACUGACACCCACUGCCUCUGUGACCUUGGGUGGGUUACAUAACCUCCCACAUGAGAAGGAGGCGGAGGCACCCGGGCUUGUGGCCUGAGCUAACCUGGGUAGUGGGAGCCCUAUCUGUGAAUUGCCAAGGGACUGCCAUGGGGACUGGUGAGAACACAGCUCUGCAAGGCCCUUUUGAUUUGUUUUAACCUUUAACUUUUCAAAAAUUUCAAAUUUAAAGGAUGCAUGACACAGUUGAAGUUUAUCACAAAUGGACUCACGAGUGUGUCUCCUCAGCUCCCAACUCCCGGACUCCUGACCUCCAAGGCCAAUACUUCGAAUUCUGUUAGGCAUUUCUUCUAGCAUUUAUCUCAAUAGUUCCAAAUAACAAGCUCGUGAUGCGAUUUCACAACCCUUGCUUCAAAUGUCAUGUAUUGACUUUCCAUAUGAGGGAUGGUCCUUGUUUCUGUUAUAUCUCCCUGCUUCCUCUUUUCAGUUCUCUGAAUAUAUGUUUUAAAAAUUUAGGCUGGACGCGGUGGCUCACGCCUGUAAUCCUAGCCCUUUGGGAGGCCGGGGCAGGCAGAUCACCUGAGAUCAGGAGUUUGAGAGCAGCCUGGCCAACAUGGUGGAACCCCUUCCCUACAAAAAUACAAAAAUUAGCCGGGCAUGGUGGCAUACGCCUGUAGUCACAGCUACUCUUCAGGCUGAGGCAGGAGAAUUGCUUGAACCGGGAGGUGGAGGUUUCAGUGAGCCAAUAUUGCGCCAUUGCACUCUAGCCUGGGUGAUAGAGCCAGACUCUGUCUCAACAAAACCCAAGGGCGGAGGUUGCAGUGAGCCAAAAUCAUGCCACUGCACUCCAGCCUGGGCGACAGUGUGAGACCCUGUCUUAAAACAGAGCAAACAAACAAACAAAAAAAAAAAAAAGAGAGAAAGAAAAUGGGAGAAGGGGGCUGUUCCAUGAAAGGGCCUUAUAUCCAAAAUGACCCCCAAAUGCCAAAGGAGCUGGAAACCAGAAAAGGAGGGAAACAAAUUCAGUUUGGUCUAGAGUGUUUUACUGGGGGAGAACUUACAGGCAGAAGCGUAGUCUUGGGAUUUUAGCUGCAAGGCAGAAGAUAGAUCUCCACACUGCUACUCCCCAGACCCGGGGCUUCUGUACCAUAGGGAAAGGGCGUGUGUGUCCAGCAAGACAAUAAAAGGCAGCCUCCAGAACAGGCAAGAAUGUUACAUGCAUCAUGGCCUAUGAUUUGUGUGAUGACAUUCAGAUUGUCAUCUUCUUACACUAAGGAUAGUAAAUAAAGUAAGAAUCAGAAGGCAUUUGCAGGACUGGGGCUAAUUAGAAUACAACAUGGCACAUUCAUAUCCAAGAUGGAGUCACUUCCUGUCUCCACAGGGGCAUUGAAGGAAAGGUGACACUUACAAUUCUGAUUGGUGCUUAGUGACAUUAUGCAUAAAUAAAGAAAUAUGCAGUUAACAUAUAUAGGGUAAAAAGUUGUGGAAUACGUAGGGGUCUUAAGGUCUGGAGAGGGGUGAUUGAUUCUACCCUGCAUUUGUGCUUCAUCUGAUAGGCAAGGUUACAAUCAGUCAUGCCAGUGAAAUAUUUGACAGACUCCACCCUAGCAGGCGAGACUUCAGCUUUAGUUCAUAGGCCUUAUAUUAGUACCUGUUUGUCCAGCCUGCAGCCAUCUUGGGCUGUGUUUUAAAACUUUUUCUUUCAGAUUUUCUUUUUUCUAAAAAUCUUUCCCUUUUGGUUAAAUUCUCCAAAAGAGGACUUUGAAAACCAAAUAAUAUAUCUGAUGGAUUUGAAGAGGACAGGUCCCCUUUGCUUGGAAUUAUAGGGCAUAGGGGAAUCAAAUUGGAAUUUUUAAGUGCCCUUGUUCUAUUUUUCACUCCUAUAUGAAGUUCUGUCAUUUGGUUUGUCAGUGAGGAUGCAAAAAUUCCUGUAUUUCCUUUCAGAAUGCGAGAGGCUCUCCUGUCAUGCCAAUAUCUCCUCACGUUAUGGAGAAAAGAGGUGAUCAUUGCAAUUAGAAUUAUUUUCUUAGGCUGUUCCUCAGAUGCGAUGAUGUGUUGCAUGGUCAACCAUAUUGCUGAAGAGCCUUGAGGAGUUGGGAGGAAGAAUAGGCCAUUUGAUGUGUUUUAUAAACCUUGGGACUUUAGGAUUGAAAAAAUUUAAAACAAGGCCGGGCGCGGUGGCUCACGCCUGUAAUCCCAGCACUUUGGGAGGCAGAGGCGGGCAGAUCACGAGGUCAGGAGUUUGAGACCAGCCUGGCCAACAUGGAGAAAUCCUGUCGCUCCUAAAAAUACAAAAAUUAGCUGGCCGUGGUGGUGGGCGUCUGUAAUCCCAGUUACUCAGGAGGCUGAGGCAGGAGAAUCACUUGAACCCAGGAGGCAGAGGUUGCAGUGAGCCAAGAUCAUGCCACUGCACUCCAGCCUGGGCAACAAGAAUGAAACUCUGUCUC